rnacentral:rRNA from 1 species
CCUACGGGGGGCUGCAGUGGGGGAUAUUGCACAAUGGGGGGAACCCUGAUGCAGUGACGCCGCGUGUGGGAAGACGGUCCUCUGGAUUGUAAACCACUGUCCCCAGGGACGAAAAUGACGGUACCUGGGGAGGAAGCUCCGGCUAACUACGUGCCAGCAGCCGCGGUAAUACGGAGGGAGCGAGCGUUGUCCGGAAUUACUGGGGGUAAAGGGAUCGUAGGCGGGGAUGCAAGUUGGGGGUCAAAACUACCGGCUCAACUGGUAGUCGCACUCAAAACUGGAGCUCUUGAGUGAAGGAGAGGCAGGCGGAAUUCCUAGUGUAGCGGUGAAAUGCGUAGAUAUUAGGAGGAACACCAGUGGCGAAGGCGGCCUGCUGGGCUUUUACUGACGCUGAGGCUCGAAAGUGUGGGGAGCAAACAGGAUUAGAUACCCUAGUAGUC